rnacentral:rRNA from 1 species
GAGCCGCUUCGUGCGGUGACGGCGUGCCUUUUGCAUAAUGAGCCUACGAGUUACUCAUCACCAGCGAGGUUAAGUACUUCAGGUACGUAAGCCGAAGCGAAAGCGAGUCUGAAUAGGGCGUCAAGUUGGUGGUGGUAGACGCGAAACCUUAGUGAUCUACCCAUGGGCAGGGUGAAGGUUUGGUAACACAAACUGGAGGCCCGAACCGGUAAACGUUGAAAAGUUUUCGGAUGACCUGUGGGUAGGGGUGAAAGGCCAAUCAAACUGGGAAAUAGCUCGUACUCUCCGAAAUGCAUUUAGGUGCAGCCUCUGUUGUUUUGUUCUAGAGGUAGAGCUACUGAUUGGAUGCGAGGGCUUCACCGCCUAUCAAAUCCGGCCAAACUCCGAAUGCUAGAACAUGAAGACAGGGAGUGAGCCAGCGGGUGCUAAGGUCCGUUGACGAAAGAGGGAGAACUCAGACCAUCAGCUAAGGUCCCCAAUUAUAUGCUAAGUUGGAAUAAAAACGGGGUGGGACUGCUUAGACAGCUAGGAUGUUGGCUUGGAAGCAGCCAUUCAUUUAAAGAGUGCGUAACAGCUCACUAGUCGAGCGGUCCUGCAUGGAUAAUACGCGGGCAUAAGCAUAUAACCGAAGCUAUGGGAUUGUAGAUGAUACAAUCGGUAGGAGAGCAUUCCAUUCAGCAUAGAAGCAGUAUCGUGAGGUAUUGUGGAGCGGAUGGAAAAGCAAAUGUAGGCAUAAGUAACGAUAAUGCGGGUGAGAACCCCGCACGCCGAAAGAUCAAGGAUUCCCCGGCAAUGUCAAUCAUCCGGGGGUAAGUCGGAUCCUAAGGGUAAGCCGAGUGGCGAUCCCGAUGGCAAACAGGUUAAUAUUCCUGUACUGAUCAUAACUGCGAUGCAGCGACGCAGAGGUGACACUGCUGCGUACUGACGGAAUAGUACGUUGAAACCCGUAUUCUUUGAUACCGGUAGUGAAGCACGCCGGUAGAGAUGAAAGGUGAUAGUACCGCAAUGCUUCGGUUGCGCGGAUAACGCAGGUAAGCUGACUGCCAAGAAAACCUGCUAAGCUUCAGGUAAUGAUCAUCCGUACUGUAAACGGACACACGUGAUCAGGUAGAAAAUACUAAGGCGCUCGAGAGAUUCAUGGUUAAGGAACUAGGCAAAAUGGUCCUGUAACUUCGGGAUAAAGGACGCUCUUGUGAAAGAGCCGCAGAUAAUAGGCCCAGGCGACUGUUUACCAAAAACACAUGGCUAUGCUAAUUCGCAAGAAGAUGUAUAUGGCCUGACACCUGCCCGGUGCCGGAAGGUUAAGAGGAGAGCUCAGAGGCAACUCGAAGGUUUGAAUUGAAGCCCCGGUAAACGGCGGCCGUAACUAUAACGGUCCUAAGGUAGCGAAAUUCCUUGUCGGGUAAGUUCCGACCUGCACGAAUGGUGUAACGAUCUGGGUACUGUCUCAACCAUGAGCUCGGUGAAAUUGUAGUUCCGGUGAAGAUGCCGGAUACCCGCAACGGGACGGAAAGACCCCGUGAACCUUUACUGCAGCUUUGCAUUGAUUUUGGGUAACAGAUGUGUAGGAUAGGUCGGAGGCUUUGAUGCUGCGUCGUCAGGCGUAGAGUAGCCGUCGUUGAAAUACGACCCUUUUGUUAUCUGAGGUCUAACCCGUUAGGGAGACAUUGCAUGGUGGGUAGUUUGACUGGGGUGGUCGCCUCCAAAAGUGUAACGGAGGCUUCUCAAGGUACCCUCAAGGCGUUUGGUAAUCGUCUGCAGAGUGCAAUGGCAUAAGGGUGCUUGACUGUGAGACCGACACGUCGAUCAGGUUGGAAACAAGAGCAUAGUGAUCCGGUGGUUCCGCAUGGAAGGG